rnacentral:rRNA from 1 species
GACGAACGCUGGCGGCGUGCUUAACACAUGCAAGUCGAACGGUAAGGCCCUUCGGGGUACACGAGUGGCGAACGGGUGAGUAACACGUGGGUGAUCUGCCCUGCACUUCGGGAUAAGCCUGGGAAACUGGGUCUAAUACCGGAUAGGACCCUGGGAUGCAUGUCCUGGGGUGGAAAGCUUUUGCGGUGUGGGAUGGGCCCGCGGCCUAUCCGCUUGUUGGUGGGGUGAUGGCCUACCACGGCGACGACGGGUAGCCGGCCUGAGAGGGUGACCGGCCACACUGGGACUGGGAUACGGCCCAGACUCCUACGGGAGGCAGCAGUGGGGAAUAUUGCACAAUGGGCGCAAGCCUGAUGCAGCGACGCCGCGUGAGGGAUGACGGCCUUCGGGUUGUAAACCUCUUUCAGCACCGACGAAGCGCAAGUGACGGUAGGUGCAGAAGAAGGACCGGCCAACUACGUGCCAGCCGCCGCAGUAA